CAUAACAGCGCGCCGGGGCGGCCGACGCACCCGCCGAGCGCGGGGGGCGGGUCCCGCGCCGCGGCCGCUGCUUUGUCAUCGUCGGGCGGCCCCGCCCCGCGUGAGACCGCAGGAUUUCGUGAGGGAGUCUGCGACCCCAUGACUAAGGGCCUCAGCAGGGAAAACAAGAGACUGGGUUUGUGACGCGGCACUUCUCAAACUGCAUGCCUGAGUUCUCACUAGGAAGUAUCCUGUACGGCCAAAAAGUAAAACGCAAAUAUUAAUGUGUGUGUGGUCUUGAGCCAGCAAUUUCACUACUUGGAAUUUAUUGUAAGGAGAUAAAGACAGAUCUGCAGUCCUCAAGGAAGGACUAACAUUUUACAAGAGGCUCGCUUCCCAAGGAAAAUAAAAAGGGAUCCGACUGACAUUCCGGCACUAAGGGUCGGCUGCAUCACCUUGGACAUCGCCUUACAAUACCAUGAAGCAAUUGAAAAGGAGUUAAGAGGAUGUGAUAACUCCAUUGCCAGGGAUAGCCAUGAAUUAUUGUGGGUGAAACACAGACUAUAAAGCAGCAGUUAAAAAAAGAGUGUUUGCAAAGGAGAAAGCCUGAAAGAUGGACAGUAAAAUACUGCCGGGGUCUUUGGGUGUGAUUGUGGGAAUAUCAGUACUUUUCUGUACCUUUAACUUUAUUUGUCAAUAAGCAUGUGUCACUACUUUUGUAAUGGAGGAAACGUCCUUUCCAUGUUUGAAACAAGGAUCUCGGAUCUCCUUGCUGUGCUGCACCUGAGAAGACGCAGGUGUGGAGCAAGAACAGGGCACUGUGGAGUCAGA